rnacentral:rRNA from 1 species
AUGUUAUCGCAAGAGCUGCUCAUCUCCACAGCUCUCGUUCUGCUUCUUCCAUACUACUUGUGCUUGAGGGCUGGCUGUAGAUCAAAUAACCCAGCGGUGAUCCCAACAAACUGGCCAAUAUUGCACAUGUUCCCAUCGUUCGUGGCCAAUCUCCACAACUUGCAGGAUUAUUUCACCCUUGUCCUUGCUGGAUCAGGUCACAACUUUAGGGCGCACGGCCCUCCUGGAACCGGGAUGCGGUUCUUCGUCACAUGCGACCCUGCCAACAUCCGGCACAUCUUCACGACCAACUACACCAACUUUCCCAAGGGUGCAGAGUUCGCCGCGAUCUUCGACAUCAUGGGUGGCAGCAUCUUCACCAUCGACGGUGAGCCAGCCCGUCGACAGCGUGCGAAAAUCAAGGGUGUACUCAGCAGCCCGCGGUUGGUUGCAAGGAUGGAGGCUUGCUGCCGCAACAAGGUAGAGAACAGCCUCCUCCCAUUGUUUGCACACAUGGCAAGCACCGACACUUCAUUCAACAUGCAAGAACUCAUGUCAAGGUUUAUGUUUGACAUGGCUGCUACUCCUCUCUUCGAUGUGGACCCUGGUCUCCUUUCUUGGGACAUGCCGCCCAUGGACGCUGCCGUUGCCAUGGACACGGUCAUGGAGGUGGCCUUAUUCCAAGUCAUGAUGCCAGCUUCUUGUUGGAGGUUGAUCAGGUGGCUAAACAUGGGCCCUGAGAGGAAGCUCAAGGCAGCACACACAGUGCUAUGUGCCUUCGUCAUGGAGAUGAUGGACAGGAGGAAGGUCAACACAUGUCGUGUUGGCAAUGACGAGGAACAAGAGGGUAUAGAUAUUUUGUCUUCCUUCCUCAACGACCCCAAUUAUGACGAUGAUGACUUGCUCUGUGCGAUGAUCAUUAGCUACAUGCUCGCUGCCAGGGACACAGUUGGAGCGACGUUAACAUGGAUUUUCUACAACCUCGCCCAACACCCUAAAGUUGUGUCAAUCAUCCGCAAAGAACUCUCACCCAUUGCAUCACGCAAAGUAGCGGACGGUGUGGAUUCCAUGGUGAUCUUUGAGCCGAACGAGACCAAAUCUCUAGUCUAUCUAAGAGCCGUCUUGUACGAGACUCUCAGGUUGCACCCAGCAGCACCUCUCAAGCGCAAGGUGGUGGCCGCUGAUGAUAUCAUGCCGAGUGGCCGUGAGGUGCACGCCGGUGACACCAUCUUUAUUUCUCUCCAUUCCAUGGGAAGAAUGGAGGGCAUAUGGGGUAAAGACUGCCUCAACUACAAUCCAGAUAGGUGGCUCUCGGAGGAUGGCAACAAGCUCAGAUAUGUACCAUCUCACAAGUUCUUGGCCUUCAACUCGGGCCCGAGGAUGUGCCUCGGCAAGGACAUCGCGGUUAUGCAGAUGAAGACCGUCAUCGCCUCAACUCUGUGGAACUUUGAUGUGGAGGUGAUGGAAGGGCAAAGCAUCCAGGCCAAGCCGUCUUGUAUAUUGGAGAUGAAAAAUGGGCUCAUGGUUAAGCUGAAAAAGCGAGAAAUGUAA